rnacentral:lncRNA from 1 species
CCCAUAUUCAUGGAUAGGCAGAAUUAACAUUGUUAAAAUGGCUAUACUUCCAAAAACAAUGUACAGAUUCAGUAUAAUCCGAAUCAAAAUACCAAUGAUCUUCUUCACACAAAAAUCAAUCACAAAAAUCCUUGAAGAAACAUAAGGUCAACAUUCCAACAUGUAGGCACAGGCAAUGACUUUCUCAAUAGGAUUCCUAAAGGAAAUAAUACCAAGAGUUAUUAAAUGGGAAGACAUCAAAUUAAAAAGCUUCUGCAUAGCAAAGGAAACAAGAAUGUGAAGAGAGAACCCACAGGAUGGGAGAAAAAUCUUUGCUAGCUAUUCUUUUGACACAGGAUUAAUAUCCACAAUAUGUAAAGAACUCAAAGAAGUUCACACACACACACACACACAAACACACACACGCCAAUUAAUAAAUGAGGAAAUGAAUGACAGACACUUUUUUAAAAUAUUUAUUUUGUAGUUGUAGUUGGACACAAUACAUUCAUUUUAUUUAUUUAUUUUUAUGUGGUGCUGUGGAUUGAACCCAGGGCCUUGCAUGAGCUAGUCGAGCGCUCUACCGCUGAGCCACAACCUUAGUCCUGAAACAGACACUUCUUUUUUUUUUUUUAUACAUCCCAGCCUUUGUUUAUCAUUAUUAAUUUUUUUUAUCUGUCAUUGAUUUUAUUUUUUUAAAUACACGACAGCAGUGGAAUGUUUUCUAUAGUUACUAUGAUUUUUUAAUAUCUGAGGGAAGUCUUGGAAUACAUGGAAAUGUGUCUUCCUCUCAUAUCUGCCCCAUGAAAAUUCUUCAUUAUUACCUUGCAUUUUUUUUUUGAUGGUGCUGGGGAUUGAACCCAGGGACUUGUGCAUGCAAGGCAAGCACUCUGCCAACUGACUAUAUCCUCAGCUCCCACCUUGCACUCUUGACUGUGUAGUGUGGCCUCAGCCAAUUUUUGGUCCACCUGCUCUUGCUGAAUAUACCAGGUGAGGUGAUCUGCUACAAGCUCAGAGAUAUGUAUAGACCCUUCCUGGCCUCAGGCCAUCUUCCAAGUGUUCCUGUCUCCUUUCCUCAUAUAAUCUGUAUUAAUUUUCCAGCCACCUGCUAUGCUUUUGAACUCGCAUUCCUUAUUUGAAAUUCUCCCUUAUACUUUCACACUCAUAGUGUCUCACUUCUGUAUCUUAAAAGCAUCCUUACUCUUGUUUAGUUCUUCCAAUCUGAUAUAUUCUGUUUAAAUUCUGCAUUAUCAUUUCUGAAUUGAAGCUAAUAUUUAACUUGCAUGUUUGCUGUGAAGAUUAGUGGUAAAU